UACGGGGGGAGCAAGCGUUGUUCGGAUUUACUGGGCGUAAAGGGCGCGUAGGCGGCCAGCGCAAGUCAGUUGUGAAAUCUCCGGGCUUAACUCGGAAAGGUCAACUGAUACUGCGCGGCUAGAGUGCAGAAGGGGCAACUGGAAUUCUCGGUGUAGCGGUGAAAUGCGUAGAUAUCGAGAGGAACACCUGCGGCGAAGGCGGGUGCUGGGCUGACACUGACGCUGGAGGCGCGAAGCCAGGGGAGCGAACGGG
rnacentral:rRNA from 1 species